rnacentral:rRNA from 1 species
ACGAACGCUGGCGGCGUGCCUAAUACAUGCAAGUCGAACGAAACUUUCUUACACCGAAUGCUUGCAUUCACCGUAAGAAGUUGAGUGGCGGACGGGUGAGUAACACGUGGGUAACCUGCCUAAAAGAAGGGGAUAACACUUGGAAACAGGUGCUAAUACCGUAUAUCUCUAAGGAUCGCAUGAUCCUUAGAUGAAAGAUGGUUCUGCUAUCGCUUUUAGAUGGACCCGCGGCGUAUUAACUAGUUGGUGGGGUAACGGCCUACCAAGGUGAUGAUACGUAGCCGAACUGAGAGGUUGAUCGGCCACAUUGGGACUGAGACACGGCCCAAACUCCUACGGGAGGCAGCAGUAGGGAAUCUUCCACAAUGGACGCAAGUCUGAUGGAGCAACGCCGCGUGAGUGAAGAAGGUCUUCGGAUCGUAAAACUCUGUUGUUAGAGAAGAACACGAGUGAGAGUAACUGUUCAUUCGAUGACGGUAUCUAACCAGCAAGUCACGGCUAACUACGUGCCAGCAGCCGCGGUAAUACGUAGGUGGCAAGCGUUGUCCGGAUUUAUUGGGCGUAAAGGGAACGCAGGCGGUCUUUUAAGUCUGAUGUGAAAGCCUUCGGCUUAACCGGAGUAGUGCAUUGGAAACUGGAAGACUUGAGUGCAGAAGAGGAGAGUGGAACUCCAUGUGUAGCGGUGAAAUGCGUAGAUAUAUGGAAGAACACCAGUGGCGAAAGCGGCUCUCUGGUCUGUAACUGACGCUGAGGUUCGAAAGCGUGGGUAGCAAACAGGAUUAGAUACCCUGGUAGUCCACGCCGUAAACGAUGAAUGCUAGGUGUUGGAGGGUUUCCGCCCUUCAGUGCCGCAGCUAACGCAAUAAGCAUUCCGCCUGGGGAGUACGACCGCAAGGUUGAAACUCAAAGGAAUUGACGGGGGCCCGCACAAGCGGUGGAGCAUGUGGUUUAAUUCGAAGCAACGCGAAGAACCUUACCAGGUCUUGACAUCCUUUGACCACCUAAGAGAUUAGGCUUUCCCUUCGGGGACAAAGUGACAGGUGGUGCAUGGCUGUCGUCAGCUCGUGUCGUGAGAUGUUGGGUUAAGUCCCGCAACGAGCGCAACCCUUGUUGUCAGUUGCCAGCAUUAAGUUGGGCACUCUGGCGAGACUGCCGGUGACAAACCGGAGGAAGGUGGGGACGACGUCAAAUCAUCAUGCCCCUUAUGACCUGGGCUACACACGUGCUACAAUGGACGGUACAACGAGUCGCGAGACCGCGAGGUUUAGCUAAUCUCUUAAAGCCGUUCUCAGUUCGGAUUGUAGGCUGCAACUCGCCUACAUGAAGUCGGAAUCGCUAGUAAUCGCGAAUCAGCAUGUCGCGGUGAAUACGUUCCCGGGCCUUGUACACACCGCCCGUCACACCAUGAGAGUUUGUAACACCCAAAGCCGGUGGGGUAACCGCAAGGAGCCAGCCGUCUAAGGUGGGACAGAUGAUUGGGGUG